UUUGAUAAUCAUCAAAUUUAUCUGAAAUGUAUGCAUGCAUGGGAGUAUAUAUAUACUCCCAUGCAUGCAUACAUUUCAGAUAAAUUUGAUGAUUUCAA